UCGCACUCCUCACAAGGCUCGAAGUAAAAACAGGGGGAGCUCGGGUUCCUUCUAGGGAGCUCAAAGCUCCUCUUUUUGGAGUUCGUGCCUUAGACACUCUGCCGUGCCGAACUGUCGCUCCUGCCAAGUCACCCUUGGUAGCUUCCACGUGUCAGGCGGCGCAAGGGUCGGGCCAAAUCUUCCUCCAUCAAAAAGCCUACAAGCUUGAUUUUGCGUCUUUCUCCGGCAAGAUGACGCGGGCCCAAAAAGAUGCGAAAAGCCCAAUUUCCGUCUAAUUUCAAGAAGCUUGAAAUGAAGCUUCCCGCUUUUAGAUGCGUUGAGAGCUUGCUAAUACGUGUCAUUGUUGACACGCUGACAAAAACGAACAGUGCCAAUCGAUGGUUUCCCAUUUUCUCAAACAUUUGGGGCCUCAAAACUGAAGCCACUCCUCUUCUUCUUCGUCUGGUCAGAACGAUUGCGCCAGAAGUGAUUUUGGCAGUCAAGGAACAACCCACAUUUGACCACCUCUUUAAUUUUUCAUUGUAAUUUCCAGGAUUUGAACGAUUGAGUUUGAUUUUUAUGUUCUACGGUUGUUUUUUCUGGUAAAAUAUUUGUUGCUCGAGUAUUGGGGUUCGGGUGUUGAAUAUUUAGGGUUUGAACUUUGAAAGAUAGUUGGAACAGUGGGGAUCGAUUAUUUGAUCUAUGGUUGUAAUCUUGUAGUUAUUUGUUUGUUGAAUGGAUUUGGGUUCAAACAUUGAACAUUUAGGGUUUGAAGGGUAGUUCGAACAAUGGGGUUCGAUUGUUUGGGUUGUCGAAUGGGUUUUAUGCUUGAAUGUUUAUAUUUAUCAGUUCCAAUGAUUGAGGGGUUUGAAUGGUUGGAGUCAACUGAGUUAUAUCGAUUCAGAUGUUUAUGUUUACCAAUUGCAAUGAUUUAUGGGUUAAUGUGAAUCGGUUCAAAGGUUUACGGUGUAGGUAUUGAAAGUUUUAAUGCUUAAUCGGUUUUACUGAUUUAUCAGUUCCAAUGUUUCUUCUUCUAGGGUUUCGUCUUCAAUUCUAAUGUUUAUCAGUUUUGCUUAAUCGGUUUUACUGAUUUAUCAAUUCUAAUGUUUAUCAGUUC